rnacentral:tRNA from 1 species
UCCCUGGAGGACUAGUGGUUAGGCCUCGGCACUCUCAUGGCCGCUGCCCAGGUUCGAUUCCCGGCCAGGGAA